rnacentral:lncRNA from 1 species
UUUCUUUUUCCUCUCUUGCGAGACUCCCUCUCUCGUUCUGUAUACUUCCAAUUUACUUUAGUAAUUCAUCCAUAAAUUCUACAAAGCCCUGCCCCGUUUUAAAUGUUUUAACCCUUGAUCACUGAUACCAUGUCCGACUGACGUAGGGCCCCGUAACGUAUGUCAAGGCUCUGCCUAAAUUCGUUGGGGUUCUGUCUCGUGACGUAGGGAUAAAGUGGAAUUGAGUUACUAUAUUUAAUGUGAGUGCAUUAUAUAUUUUAUUAAAUAAUCCAGCAGUUAUACCAAGAUAUAUCAACCCUCCAAAAAUAUUUCCGACACCCCUAAUAUAUUUAGAGUUCCCCUAUACAUCCUAAAAUAUACCCUGUAUACGAAAAAUAGGCCCUGAACACUUUAUUUUUACCAAAAAUUAAAUAAAAACAAAUUUCAAGAGGCGCUCACGGGCCGCGUAGCAUUCUUCCCAUUUUGUCGCGGGCCGCGACAGCUCAAACACCAGAUCUCCUCCGGUGCCGCCACGUGUCGAUGACUCAGCGACCUUUCGCCGCCUUACCAGUCCUCGCGGGCCGCGUAAGACCUUGAUAUGGUCUACGCAGGGCGCGACAAGGUCCAAGAUCAGCACUAUAAAUAGAAAGCUUCGGCCGUCCAUUUGAAUUCGCUCACAAUCACUUUUCUCUCAAAUUUCUAUAGGGUAGUCACUAUUCUCGGGCAUAAUACCCCCUAAUUAGCGAAGCUCUGCCUCGUUGUAAGUAUCAUAACCCCUGGAUACGUAUUAGAUACUCUGCCCGAUUGAUCUAGGGUUCCGUAACGGCUGUCGUGGUUCUGCCCGACGUAGUCGUUGGAAUGCCGUCUCGGGGAAGAUUAUAACCAGGAAGUCACAAAGGAAAGCCCUAUAAUAGCAAUGUAACUUAGUGUGAAGCCAAUAAAAGCCAGCUGGAGAGCACUGAAGGCUUAGAAAAGUGGCAAUAAAAGUUACCUAAUUAAAAAGGAGAAUUGUAUUCAAUAAUUGGGAUUAUUCCCUAUAAAUGUAUCAGAAUGAAAAAUCGGGUUUUGUCCCACUUAUGAAUAUAUUAUCAGAAAAACUUGGGUUUUAUCCCAUUCCUU